CUGCUGAUGCACACUCAACAAAGAGGAAAGUGACACCACAGCUCCUGUCACUCCCUUUACAAGCCCCCCUCCCGCCCCUUGUUCAUUAGCCUUCCAUUAAGGGACUAGCCAAGGCCCCUCGCUGCCCCCUCCCUGGUGGAGUCACUGCUCCAUUAUGUGACUCUUCACGUGGAUCUUGGAGUGAUGGCAAUUCUUCAACAUUGCUCAUUUUCGGAAAACUGGUUGUUAAACAUUUACUGAAGGGAAUACAGAGCGAGUUUAAAUAGUUACUAAAUGGACCUGAGGAUCUAGACAUGAAAAGGACCUAAUCGAUCAUCUAAUCCAGCCUCCUCAUUUUUGGCUUGAAGAAAUUGAAGAUCAGAAAUAUUUGCUGCCUUUUUUUCAGGUCACACACAUAGUAAGUAAAAGUGCUGUGAUUUGAACCCAGGCUGCCAAAGUCCUAAUUAAUGUCUCUUUCCACAGUACCAUCCUGUUUCAUUUCGUUUGUACAAAAAUAGUCCAGAAUUGUAUACAGUAUGAUUUGUUGUGGGUCUAUACUUCUAUUUUUAUUCAAAGAUAUUUUAUUUUCCCAAUUACAUGUAAUAAUUAUCAACAUACAUUUUCUGAAAUUAUAAGAUCCAAAUUGUCUUCCUUCCUCUUUUCCCUCCCCUCCUCCAGGAGAGAGAUGGUAAACAAUUUGAUCUGGGUUAUAUAUGUAUUAUCAGGCAUAACAUAUUUCCAUAUUGGCCAUUGUUGUAAGAGAAUACUCAUAUAAAAUCAAAACAUCAAAAUAAAACCAUAAAUAAACUUUAAAAUGUGAAAGAUA